CGGGUGGCAGACUAUCUGGGUAUGUGCAUAUAUAUUCAUACCCGUAAGUCUCCAUCGAGC
rnacentral:pre_miRNA from 1 species